UACAGAGGGUGCGAGCGUUGUCCGGAAUCACUGGGCGUAAAGGGCGCGUAGGCGGCCUGAUAAUUCGGGGGUGAAAUCCUGUGGCUUAACCACAGGGCUGCCUCCGAGACUGUCGGGCUCGAGCACAGUAGAGGCAGGUGGAAUUCCCGGUGUAGCGGUGGAAUGCGUAGAGAUCGGGAAGAACAUCGGUGGCGAAGGCGGCCUGCUGGGCUGUUGCUGACGCUGAGGCGCGACAGCGUGGGGAGCAAACAGG
rnacentral:rRNA from 1 species